UGAGGACUCCCUGUGAGCCAGG
rnacentral:misc_RNA from 1 species